rnacentral:misc_RNA from 1 species
AGGUGAACGUUCCAAAUCCGAAAGAGAUUUUAACAUGGCCGCAUGUUGAAACACGAAUUUUCUUUAUUGUUUGCCAAUGUAUUUGAAGAUCUAGUAGUGGUGUUUGAAAUCAGUUUUACAUAAAACAAAACGUGCUUAAUAAAUAACGUAUAAUUUCGUUGAUAGUUCCCUAAUUGUUUAAAAUCAUUCUAAAAGUUUUAUUAUACGCAGUACCGGCCUAAUUCCUGAUUUUUUGUGCAAUUAACAUCUUAUACGUUAUAAAUACAAAAAUUUUCUGUUAAAAUAAGUGAAUUAUGAUGCGACAUCCUGAACACCAUCACGUCCCCCCUAACAACAUGCAACGAAACAGAGUGCAGCAAAUGCCCCCAAAUCGUGGUACUCAGCCAAUGUUAAUGAGUUUACAACCAACAGUUCCAGUACCGCACUCAGGAGUACUUGUUUCUAUGCCUCAAGGCCCACCCCUUAUGCCACCGACUUCAAUGCCCCAGCAACCUCAACAGCCAAAAACCAUCAUGCAGCAACCUACACAACAAGUAUAUCACUAUGAGUCUGCACCAGUGGAAGCAACAGAGCAUCAACAUCAACCACCUCCACCACAUCAGACGGUUUCUGAAAAUGAUCAUUCUGCUCAGGUGCAACAAGCUCAAAUGCAAAAUUCACCAAACACUAGUACUUCUUCUAUGCCCCAACAAUCAACCUUGGCAAACACUAAAGAAAAAACCCCAAUGUGUCUAAUCAAUGAAUUAGCUAGAUAUAAUAAAAUUCAACAUCAGUAUCGUCUCACUGGAGAGCAGGGGCCAGCUCACAAAAAGCUGUUUACUGUUACUUUAAAAUUGGGCAAUGAAGAAUAUGAAGCUGAAGGACCAAGCAUAAAAAAAGCCCAGCAUGCUGCUGCUGCCUUGGCUCUUAAAAGGACAGAUUUGAAGCAUCCUCCUCCAAAAACUGCUCGAAUUAAUAGGUCUGGCCUGAGGAACCCCGGUAUGGUCACUCCAACAGUAGAAUUGAAUGCACUAGCUAUGAAAAGAGGAGAACGAACGGUGUAUGUGCUAGAUAGUGUUCCAUCACAUCAACCUCAGGGAUACAUUUCACAAACUGGUUAUUAUCCUCGACAUAAUAUGUAUAAUCCAGGGCAACCACGUUAUCCAAAUUUUGAUAUUCGGCGGGGCCGAGGAUACCAUACCCAUUAUGAUCGAUAUUAUGGACCGUAUAGACCUGGUUACCAGCAUCCUUCUGGAGAACCAGUAACUGUACGCCUUCGAGUUGGAGACAGAGAAUACCCAGGCGUGGGAUGCACCGUUCAGGCGGCCCGUCAUGAUGCAGCAUCCAAAGCUGUCGAAGAUAUUAAACAAAUGGAAGCUGAAGAACAACAACAUCAGCAGCAGCAACAACAGCAACAACAACAACAACAACAACACCAGCAGCAGCAGCAACAGCAGCAGCAGCAGCAGCAAUGCAAUACAACACAAGAAAAUGGUUACUUGGUAACGACAAAUGGAAAUAUUAAUCAGGAUUUAAGUACAGAACUCAAAUCUCCAAUUUCAUUGGUACACGAAAUUGCCCUUAAAAGAUCUCUGAAUGUAACUUUUGAGGUUCUUAGUGAGAAAGGCCCUCCUCAUAUGAAGAUUUUUGUGACCCAAUGCCGAGUUGGGGAUUUAAUCGCGAAUGGGGAAGGAAAUGGAAAGAAAUUAUCGAAGAAAAGGGCUGCAGAAAAAAUGUUAGAGGAACUAGCGAAAUUGGGACCACUUAUUAGUACUAACAAUAUGGCUCAUCUAAAACGCAAGAGGGUAGUUGCUAAGAAAAAAACUAGGAACUUGAUUAAAGUUAAUGCUGACAAAAAUUCAGAAUAUACUGAAGAGAUCAAUCCAAUAUCGCGCCUGAUACAAAUACAACAAGCCAAUAAAGAAAAAGAACCUGUUUACACAGUAGUAGAAGAAAGGGGUGCUCCUAGAAGGCGUGAAUUUGUAAUAGAGGCUUCUGUAAAGGGACACUCGUGUACUGGAAUAGGUCCCAAUAAAAAGGUGGCAAAACGUAAGGCUGCAGAAGCAUUGCUUAAUUUAUUAGGUUAUUCGAGCAGUCCUGUACAGAACAUACCUCCAAAACCAGUAAUCAAAUCUGAAAAAGAAGUAGAGUUGGUAGACAAGCUGCGGAAAGUAACAUUCAUGGAAGAAAAGUCUGAAGUUUCUGUUGGGGGCAGUGGAGGCCGUCAAUUGGUUCCCGGGCUUUUGCUUGUAGGAGAUCAGUCUGCCAGUUUCCAGCAGAAUAAAUCAAAAGUAAAUUCAGAUAUGUUAAAUUCCGGAUCUGGCGUCCAAGCUGAUGGGAAAAGAGGCGGCCAAUCUCAAGUAUCUAAAAUAUCUUCACAAGCAACUCAAAGUGUUCGAGCUAAAGAACAGCUUCUAUAUCUGGCUCAGCUGCUUGGUGUCCAGGUUCAGUUUUCUGAUUUUCCAAAGGCUAACCAUGAAAUGUACCUCACAUUGGUCUCUCUCAGUACACAGCCUCCUCAGUGUAGAAAAUAUAACAAGUGGUGUUAUCAGAGUAUGCGGUGAUGGAUUUUGUUGAUUUAUUUCUUUUAUAAACAAGUCAAUAACACUAAAUUAUUAUAAAUACACGGUGUGUCAUGGAGAGGGUCCUACAACUGAGGCUUCUCAUGAAAAGGCUGCUUUAGAAGCACUGAAUGUUCUAUCUGAGCUGGGAUUAGAUAAU